CAAAUUUUCUCUGGGUUACUUAAUCCAGUUCAUCUGUACUUGUUAUCAAUAAAUACCUUGCUUUACCAAUAAAAUACUUGGCUUUACCAUACAAUAUGCAGUCUCCCUGGGCCAUCUGGGGCUCAAUCUAACCCCCAAGCUUCCCUGGUUUUACCUCACAUGAUUUCUGGGAACGAGACUGACUUCCCAGCAUCUGAAGAAAUUCAGGCAAUUAUGGACACUACUGUGUCAAAAGCCCUGGCAUCUGCUAUGGACAUUAUGUCCUCGUCUAUCUCAAAAUCUUUUGCACAAGCGAUAUUACAAGCCCAAUGGUCUCUCAUCCUACACACCCCGGCCGCAAGGCCUCAGCUAAAGUAAAGCACUCAUCCAAAAAUAUGAUGGACAGUUCUAAACCUGUCACAGAUGGCGCACAUAAUGAUCCACCGCGCAAUAGAGCCUUUAGCCGGGCAAAAGCGGCUAGGCAUUGGAAAUAGGCUAAAGCCCAACCAGAUUACACAGAGUCUGAGCUCAGUUCAGAAGAGGAGAGUGCAUUUUCAUUAGACUCAGACCAGUCAAAUGAUUUAUCUGACUUAGAUGCAGACUACGAAUUUGGUGAGGAUUCAAAACCCUAUACUGACUUGCAUACCACAGGCACGUCUAUCUCUGAUCUAACUAAAGAGGGUAAAAUACUCGACCCACAGGGCGAACCCUUAUUUGAACCUAAUGACUUCCGUCACCCCCGCUCAGCGGAAUGGUCACCAGCUGAACAUGUGGCACAAUAUGUCGCAUUGCUGGUCCGUAAGCCUAAGGCGGCCCAAAAUAAGUUAAGGGUGGAAUGCCCACGCCCCACUGUACCGGACGAGAUCUGUAAGACCCCCCAAGUUGACCCCAAAAUUAUCCAGUUCCUAAGCAAAACUGGAUGGAAGCCUAAAAAAAGGCUUAGAUUUCUCAUUAUACAACUGCCAAGACAAGGUACUA